CGAACGGGAUGCUUAGGCAUCUAGUGGCGGACGGGUGAGUAACGCGUGAGAAUCUGGCUCCAGGUCGGGGAUAACAGUUGGAAACGACUGCUAAUACCGGAUGUGCCGAAAGGUGAAAGAUUUAUUGCCUGGAGAUGAGCUCGCGUCUGAUUAGCUAGUUGGUGGUGUAAGGGACCACCAAGGCGUCGAUCAGUAGCUGGUCUGAGAGGAUGAUCAGCCACACUGGGACUGAGACACGGCCCAGACUCCUACGGGAGGCAGCAGUGGGGAAUUUUCCGCAAUGGGCGAAAGCCUGACGGAGCAAUACCGCGUGAGGGAGGAAGGCUCUUGGGUCGUAAACCUCUUUUCUCAAGGAAGAAGAAAGUGACGGUACUUGAGGAAUAAGCAUCGGCUAACUCCGUGCCAGCAGCCGCGGUAAUACGGAGGAUGCAAGCGUUAUCCGGAAUGAUUGGGCGUAAAGGGUCUGCAGGUGGAACUGAAAGUCUGCUGUUAAAGAGUUUGGCUUAACCAAAUAAAAGCGGUGGAAACUACAGAACUAGAGUGUGGUAGGGGCAAAAGGAAUUCCUGGUGUAGCGGUGAAAUGCGUAGAUAUCAGGAAGAACACCGGUGGCGAAAGCGUUUUGCUAGACCAUAACUGACACUGAGGGACGAAAGCUAGGGGAGCGAAUGGGAUUAGAUACCCCAGUAGUCCUAGCCGUAAACGAUGGAUACUAGGCGUGGCUUGUAUCGACCCGAGCCGUGCCGGAGCUAACGCGUUAAGUAUCCCGCCUGGGGAGUACGCACGCAAGUGUGAAACUCAAAGGAAUUGACGGGGGCCCGCACAAGCGGUGGAGUAUGUGGUUUAAUUCGAUGCAACGCGAAGAACCUUACCAAGACUUGACAUCCUGCGAAUCCUGGUGAAAGCUGGGAGUGCCUUCGGGAGCGCAGAGACAGGUGGUGCAUGGCUGUCGUCAGCUCGUGUCGUGAGAUGUUGGGUUAAGUCCCGCAACGAGCGCAACCCUCGUUUUUAGUUGCCAGCAUUAAGUUGGGCACUCUAGAGAGACUGCCGGUGACAAACCGGAGGAAGGUGAGGAUGACGUCAAGUCAGCAUGCCCCUUACGUCUUGGGCUACACACGUACUACAAUGCUACGGACAGAGGGCAGCGAGCCAGGGAUGGCAAGCGAAUCCAGAAACCGUAGCUCAGUUCAGAUCGAAGGCUGCAACUCGCCUUCGUGAAGGAGGAAUCGCUAGUAAUUGCAGGUCAGCAUACUGCAGUGAAUUCGUUCCCGGGCCUUGUACACACCGCCCGUCACACCAUGGAAGUUGGUCACGCCCGAAGUCAUUACCCCAACCGAAAGGAGGGGGAUGCCUAAGGUAGGACUGGUGACUGGGGUGAAGUCGUAACAAGGUAGCCGUACCGGAAGGUGUGGCUGGAUCACCUCCUUU
rnacentral:rRNA from 1 species